rnacentral:rRNA from 1 species
AAGUGACUAAGCGUACACGGUGGAUGCCUUGGCAGUCAGAGGCGAUGAAAGACGUAGUAACUUGCGAUAAGCCCAGAUUAGGUAGUAACAACCAUUUGAGUCUGGGAUUUCUGAAUGGGGAAACCCACGUGCAUAAGCACGUAUCCUUACCUGAAUACAUAGGGUAAGGAGGCGAACCGGGGGAACUGAAACAUCUAAGUACCCCGAGGAAAAGAAA